UUAUCUGAGGCUGGCGUUAGUGGGGAGGGAUCACAGAAGACUGUAGCUUGGCGACCAGUUCUUCUCUGCUGGUUGUCUCUGAGCGCCAGGAAAACGUUCUACACUUUCACUGCUGUUGUUCCAGCUUGAAGGGUUCUGGUUUUUAAACAGCAUUUCGUGAGCCCUUCCUCCAAGUUCAUGUCGUGCUUUCAUUCUCCAAGAGACAAGUGGAGCCACUGUACAUCAAGAUUCAAAAACAAAACCAGGCAGUUCUCCCAGGACUGGUUUAGUAGCCAGUGAGUGGCAGAGUCCUCUGUAAUCCUGGAAACCACACUAUUGUGAGCAGCGGGGACCUGCUUUCCAUGAAUUGGAAGAAAAAAACAUACUUUUCAAAUGUUGGCUGUGUUUGGGGACAGACUCUCAAUAUCUAGGACAGCGCUUGGCCCAAGUAUUCUGAGACGGUUAUGGAAGAUCUCUCAUGAAGUGUCUCAAGCAGCCCAGAAGGAUCCAGGCGCCACUACCGAGGUCUCUAGCCCCACA